GAACAGAGAGCCUCCAGCGAUGAAAACCCCCCGAGGAAAAACAGCCCCAAAUGACAGGGCCAGUUCUUGAAUAUAGAUGCCCUAGGAAAAAAGCCUCGAAAUAAGCUGGGAGGACACUCUCCACCCACCCUGUUCUUGUUUCAAAUGUUUCCUCUCAAGCAAGACCUACUCAAGAAUUGGCUGGUGUGACUAUGCCCGCGAGGGUUGAUUUCAUGUGUCAACGUGACUGGACUCUGGACGCCCAGAGAGCUGAUACCAGCGCUCUUGAUUCUCAGGCCUUUGGAUUCACACUGAAUAACACCACUGGCUCUCCUCAGUCUCCAGCUGGCAGACAGUACAUCGUGGGACUUCUUGGCCUCCAUCAUCGUGUGAGCCAAUU